AAGGAUUCUAAAAUAAAUAUACUCAAAUUCAGAGGUUAAAUUCACAGAUCGUGUGCUGUGUGGAUUACUUUCAGUUCCUGCACAAGACAGAGCUUCACAAGAGAACAACCCAGCUCAAAACAUCAAGGUCAAGAAGCCUGGCAGGAGAUGAUCUAACAUGGUCUUCAUGAGCUUGGUGAGACCAUAGGAAGGGUCAAAUCCCUUGGACAUGGAGUUAUAGACGUGUAAGCUGCCGUGUGGAUGUGAGGACAGAACUCCAGUCCUCUACAAGAACAUCAAGUACUCUUAAACCUUUCCUCCAGAAUAAAAAGAUGGAGAAAUUCUCAGGACUGGAGGUCUGGAGAUAUGACUCAACGGUUAUGAGCACAGGAGGCUCUUCCAGAUUCCUGGCAUCUACGUAGAGGCUCACGGCUAUGUAACUCCAGUUCUGAAGGAUCAGUCUCCCUGCUUCUGGCUUCCGUGAGAACCAGCUAAAGAUCCGUUAAAGGCUGUUAUGCUAAAUUUUAUAGAUGGUUCUUUCAAUGGAAGAACUGCAUAUAUGGUUAAUAGUGAAAAGAAAUUGUGGAGUGUGCCUAUGGCUCAUUAAAAACAAUUUAAAAGGAUAAAAGCAAAUUUAAAAGGAUCAAGAAUCGCCACAUAAUGCCUGAAGUCUUACACUUUUUAUGGAUGGACAAAGCUGCAGACAGGUUUGCCAUGAUGGCA